CCUACGGGAGGCAGCAGUGGGGGAUAUUGGACAAUGGGGGGAACCCUGAUCCAGCGACGCCGCGUGAGUGAAGAAGUAUUUCGGUAUGUAAAGCUCUGUCAGCAGGGAAGAAAGAAAUGACGGUACCUGACCAAGAAGCCUCGGCUAACUACGUGCCAGCAGCCGCGGUAAUACGUAGGGGGCAAGCGUUAGCCGGAAUUACUGGGUGUAAAGGGAGCGUAGACGGUUAAGUAAGUCUGGAGUGAAAGGCCGGGGCCCAACCCCGGGACUGCUCUGGAAACUAUUGAACUUGAGUGCAGGGGAGGUAAGCGGAAUUCCUAGUGUAGCGGUGAAAUGCGUAGAUAUUAGGAGGAACACCAGUGGCGAAGGCGGCUUACUGGACUGUAACUGACGUUGAGGCUCGAAAGCGUGGGGAGCAAACAGGAUUAGAUACCCUGGUAGUC
rnacentral:rRNA from 1 species